UUAAGCGACUAAGCGUACACGGUGGAUGCCCUGGCAGUCAGAGGCGAUGAAGGACGUGCUAAUCUGCGAUAAGCGUCGGUAAGGUGAUAUGAACCGUUAUAACCGGCGAUUUCCGAAUGGGGAAACCCAGUGUGUUUCGACACACUAUCAUUAACUGAAUCCAUAGGUUAAUGAGGCGAACCGGGGGAACUGAAACAUCUAAGUACCCCGAGGAAAAGAAAUCAACCGAGAUUCCCCCAGUAGCGGCGAGCGAACGGGGAGGAGCCCAGAGCCUGAAUCAGUGUGUGUGUUAGUGGAAGCGUCUGGAAAGGCGCGCGAUACAGGGUGACAGCCCCGUACACAAAAAUGCACAUAUUGUGAGCUCGAUGAGUAGGGCGGGACACGUGGUAUCCUGUCUGAAUAUGGGGGGACCAUCCUCCAAGGCUAAAUACUCCUGACUGACCGAUAGUGAACCAGUACCGUGAGGGAAAGGCGAAAAGAACCCCGGCGAGGGGAGUGAAAAAGAACCUGAAACCGUGUACGUACAAGCAGUGGGAGCACGCUUAGGCGUGUGACUGCGUACCUUUUGUAUAAUGGGUCAGCGACUUAUAUUCUGUAGCAAGGUUAACCGAAUAGGGGAGCCGAAGGGAAACCGAGUCUUAACUGGGCGUUAAGUUGCAGGGUAUAGACCCGAAACCCGGUGAUCUAGCCAUGGGCAGGUUGAAGGUUGGGUAACACUAACUGGAGGACCGAACCGACUAAUGUUGAAAAAUUAGCGGAUGACUUGUGGCUGGGGGUGAAAGGCCAAUCAAACCGGGAGAUAGCUGGUUCUCCCCGAAAGCUAUUUAGGUAGCGCCUCGUGAAUUCAUCUCCGGGGGUAGAGCACUGUUUCGGCAAGGGGGUCAUCCCGACUUACCAACCCGAUGCAAACUGCGAAUACCGGAGAAUGUUAUCACGGGAGACACACGGCGGGUGCUAACGUCCGUCGUGAAGAGGGAAACAACCCAGACCGCCAGCUAAGGUCCCAAAGUCAUGGUUAAGUGGGAAACGAUGUGGGAAGGCCCAGACAGCCAGGAUGUUGGCUUAGAAGCAGCCAUCAUUUAAAGAAAGCGUAAUAGCUCACUGGUCGAGUCGGCCUGCGCGGAAGAUGUAACGGGGCUAAACCAUGCACCGAAGCUGCGGCAGCGACGCUUAUGCGUUGUUGGGUAGGGGAGCGUUCUGUAAGCCUGCGAAGGUGUGCUGUGAGGCAUGCUGGAGGUAUCAGAAGUGCGAAUGCUGACAUAAGUAACGAUAAAGCGGGUGAAAAGCCCGCUCGCCGGAAGACCAAGGGUUCCUGUCCAACGUUAAUCGGGGCAGGGUGAGUCGACCCCUAAGGCGAGGCCGAAAGGCGUAGUCGAUGGGAAACAGGUUAAUAUUCCUGUACUUGGUGUUACUGCGAAGGGGGGACGGAGAAGGCUAUGUUGGCCGGGCGACGGUUGUCCCGGUUUAAGCGUGUAGGCUGGUUUUCCAGGCAAAUCCGGAAAAUCAAGGCUGAGGCGUGAUGACGAGGCACUACGGUGCUGAAGCAACAAAUGCCCUGCUUCCAGGAAAAGCCUCUAAGCAUCAGGUAACAUCAAAUCGUACCCCAAACCGACACAGGUGGUCAGGUAGAGAAUACCAAGGCGCUUGAGAGAACUCGGGUGAAGGAACUAGGCAAAAUGGUGCCGUAACUUCGGGAGAAGGCACGCUGAUAUGUAGGUGAAGUCCCUUGCGGAUGGAGCUGAAAUCAGUCGAAGAUACCAGCUGGCUGCAACUGUUUAUUAAAAACACAGCACUGUGCAAACACGAAAGUGGACGUAUACGGUGUGACGCCUGCCCGGUGCCGGAAGGUUAAUUGAUGGGGUCAGCGCAAGCGAAGCUCUUGAUCGAAGCCCCGGUAAACGGCGGCCGUAACUAUAACGGUCCUAAGGUAGCGAAAUUCCUUGUCGGGUAAGUUCCGACCUGCACGAAUGGCGUAAUGAUGGCCAGGCUGUCUCCACCCGAGACUCAGUGAAAUUGAACUCGCUGUGAAGAUGCAGUGUACCCGCGGCAAGACGGAAAGACCCCGUGAACCUUUACUAUAGCUUGACACUGAACAUUGAGCCUUGAUGUGUAGGAUAGGUGGGAGGCUUUGAAGUGUGGACGCCAGUCUGCAUGGAGCCGGCCUUGAAAUACCACCCUUUAAUGUUUGAUGUUCUAACGUGGACCCGUGAUCCGGGUUGCGGACAGUGUCUGGUGGGUAGUUUGACUGGGGCGGUCUCCUCCUAAAGAGUAACGGAGGAGCACGAAGGUUGGCUAAUCCUGGUCGGACAUCAGGAGGUUAGUGCAAUGGCAUAAGCCAGCUUGACUGCGAGCGUGACGGCGCGAGCAGGUGCGAAAGCAGGUCAUAGUGAUCCGGUGGUUCUGAAUGGAAGGGCCAUCGCUCAACGGAUAAAAGGUACUCCGGGGAUAACAGGCUGAUACCGCCCAAGAGUUCAUAUCGACGGCGGUGUUUGGCACCUCGAUGUCGGCUCAUCACAUCCUGGGGCUGAAGUAGGUCCCAAGGGUAUGGCUGUUCGCCAUUUAAAGUGGUACGCGAGCUGGGUUUAGAACGUCGUGAGACAGUUCGGUCCCUAUCUGCCGUGGGCGCUGGAGAACUGAGGGGGGCUGCUCCUAGUACGAGAGGACCGGAGUGGACGCAUCACUGGUGUUCGGGUUGUCAUGCCAAUGGCACUGCCCGGUAGCUAAAUGCGGAAGAGAUAAGUGCUGAAAGCAUCUAAGCACGAAACUUGCCCCGAGAUGAGUUCUCCCUGACCCUUUAAGGGUCCUGAAGGAACGUUGAAGACGACGACGUUGAUAGGCCGGGUGUGUAAGCGCAGCGAUGCGUUGAGCUAACCGGUACUAAUGAACCGUGAGGCUUAACCUU
rnacentral:rRNA from 1 species